GACGGAGGAUGCAAGUGUUAUCCGGAAUCACUGGGCGUAAAGCGUCUGUAGGUGGUUCAAUAAGUCAACUGUUAAAUCUUGAGGCUCAACUUCAAAAUCGCAGUCGAAACUAUUGGACUCGAGUAUAGUAGGGGUAAAGGGAAUUUCCAGUGGAGCGGUGGAAAUGCGUAGAGAUUGGAAAGAACACCAAUGGCGAAAGCACUUUACUGGGCUAUUACUGACACUGAGAGACGAAAGCUAGGGUAGCAAAUGGG
rnacentral:rRNA from 1 species